UUUUCCUUGGAAGUUUUUUGAAAUUGAGGCAAUUUUUGGCUUUUCAAAAAAAUUUCAAGGAAAAUGUUAAAAAAAACUCCGACGUGAUAGAGAAAUUAGAAUGAUGCCAUUGAAUUCACCGUCCCAAAAUUAUGCGGAAAUGGUGUCUUUCAUGUCAGUUAGAUUUUUGAAGUUGAAAAAUGACACACAGUGUUAUAUUCCAUUGAAAAUAUGGAUAAAAGUUACGUAAACUAUUUGUCGUAUCAUUUACAGUGAUUCACUUUCUGAUGCUGAUAUGGCAGAGGGAGUGUCAAAAACUUCAAACGUUCUUAAAAUUGGUUUCUUAUUUGAUCACCCAGAGAAAAACCUACCAAAAUACAUGAACCGAUUUGAUAUUGUGCUUGUGGAUGAUCAAACAAUGGAUGUACCACGACAAAUCUUGCUAUUUGUUAAGGAACGAAGUGUGUGAAUUUUGUCAUUGCAACAGAAUAGAGAAGAAAACAAUUAAGUUAAAGAAUUUUUCAACUUAACUAUCUAUAAAAUGGAAGAUUUCCAUUUUCCAUUAAAAAAAAAUUAAAUGAUAUUUAUAACAAAAUAUUUUUCUCUAUAAAGAUAUUUAGUUUUUAUCUGUAAUAAAUGACAAUCAAAAGAAUAA